rnacentral:lncRNA from 1 species
AAGCAGCUGAAACGCUCUGCUUUCCAAGUCUGGAAUCAGAGCCCCAGAAAAACCCAGAGGCCAUCUUGACUUGGUCCAUUCUUGCCAACCACAGCCAUUAAGGAAGGGAAGACCUGGUUUAAAAGGGCCCUGAGCUGCCACCCGUGAAACACUUCAGCUCUGGUCCAGCCAAGUCUGGGAAAAGGUUUUUACAGCCUUAACUUCAUUCAAAGCAGGCCCCUGGUGUGGGCAAUGCAGAGGUUCUUUGCCUGAGGAGGGAUGAGGAGCUCAGAGAGCUCCAGCAACUUGCUCAAGAUUGCGCAGCAGGUUAAUGGCCAAGUUGGGACCAAGGAUCAAGACUACCGACUUCCAGUGCAGUGGGAGUCUCCUACAAACCAUGUCCAGGAUCAAAGCAGACGCUGAAGGGCAGAGGUUUUGUUUACCCUCUUCCCUUCAAUUACUGAGUCCCUAAACUCCCUCUUUAAUAAGGAAGUAACAGUGACCUAGUAUAUUUGAACUUGAGCAAGGCAGUGGACAAGCAGGUGCAUGAUAUUCCCAUGGUCAAGCAUGAUGGAAAACUGUGAGAUGGAUUCAAGGGCCGUCAGUAGAAGACUGGCACCCAAACAAUUUUGGUCAUUGCCUGAUGGAAGCAGCAUCCAGGGGAGAAGCUGGAAUCGCAGUCUCUGGGUGAAAAGGCGCUGGAGAUGUCCCACAUUGUCAGCGAUCUCUGAGCUGCAUAUGAGAAAAAUCCACCUCCAACUGGCUUAAGUAAAGAAGGAAUGUGUUGGCUCAUGCACCUGAAAAAUUUAGAUCUAGACUCAG